UAGUGAUUACAAUGCCAAGCUAAGAAAAAAGGGGGGUGCAAAGAAUUGUGCAAGAAAACCCAAAUAUGAGGCAUUUUAGAAUAUCACAAGUCUCUAGUUGUAGGAGAGUUUUUAAAAUAAAAACAAAAAAGCCUUCUUUGACUUUGAUGCAUUCUUGUUCGAAUGGCACAGUGUUAAAGACAUGAGAUUAUGCUCACUAUACUUAGUUCAUACUGAGAACAACACUGUCAUGGUCAUUAUAAUGUGAACACCCCUCCCCAAAUUUUAGGAGAGAUCCUACUGCUGGACAUAGGUCCAGCUCUCUGUAGUCCACUAAGUCAGUUACCAUUCGUGCAUCUGUUUUAUGGUUCUUCCAUUUGUGAUGGCUGCUGUCAUCUCUGCUGUUAGUCUUUUAUCUUGUCAAUUUGUCUUUAAAAAUCCUUUUUACUAUAAUUUUAGCAGAUUGUCAGGAGAGAGUGGAUGUUAAUACAUGAGCCCAGCGUAGAAGUUUUAACCAUUAGAUGUAAUUUUUUCCUUGUGUGUUAGUUUUUUUCCCUGCUACAAAGAAACUGCUUCUUGCACUCCGUUGACAUUGCCAAGCACCUCUAUGAUUUUGUUUAGAUCCAUGUAGUUAUUCCUGAUUCUUUGGUAUUAUGUUCUCUUUCUGUUUUAGGAAAUAUUUUCAUAAGUUUGUGCUUUUCUUUACUUUUCAUCAAAUAAAGCUUGACCUGUGUAGACCCAGUUUUUAAAUAUAGAAUGGUUAUGUGCUUGUCCUUGGCUCUUUAUAUUGCCUACCUGAUUUAUAUGGACCUUAAUUUCUGCUUUGGGCUAAAGUUUCACAUACAUAAGUUGCUUGAAGGUAGAGAUUCUGUGUCAUUAAAUCUGUAGCUCUAGGUAGGACCUAAUGUACGUAGACUAGUUUCUUGCUAAAUAUAAAGCACAAUAUUCAUAUUAAAAAUUGAAUUGCUGCCCUAACCGUUUCUUGGAGAGUAACGUGACUAACCUUUUGAGACUGAGUGAGUAAUUAGAGGUUGGAGAUUUCUGGAAUUUCUUUUAAAAUGGUAUUAGUGUAUGCAUAUAUAAUGAAUUGGGUUAUCUAAUUUGGUAUGAGGUUAUGGUAAUGAGAUUGAGAUUCUUUUUAAAAUUUUUACACCUUUCAUACAUACUGCAUUCUUUUUUAAAAAAUUUGUUUAACUUAUUUAUUUUAGAGGGAGAGAGAGAGACAUCAGUUUGCUGUUCCACUCAUGUCUGCAUGUAUUGGUUGCUUAUUGGAUGUGCCCUGACUAGGGGGUUAAACCUAUAACCUUGGCGCAUCAGAACGACAUUCUAACUAUCUGGCCAAGGCUGCUCUGCAUUCCUAAUAUUGACAAAUCCACUCAAUAACAAUUGGUAUUGCUAUCAGAGGGUCCAGAUAGAAUUGUAACCAUGAAUGAUCAAUACAGAUAAUGAAGCUACUGGAAAAAACAACCCAAAACAUAUGCCUCCAGGGUGUGAUGAUAAAUAAGUUUUCUUUUUAUAUGGAGAUUAGUAACUAAUGGGCUAUUCUUUUUAACAAGUAGUGUUAAACAUUUUAUCUGAAAAUUCACUUUUAUUUAAAAUCGUUGACUAAUAAUAUCUUUUCAGUGGUUUUUCCAUAGGUUCUUUUUUGAACUAGACUUUCAAUGUUUUUUAUGGAAAGAUUUUGGAUCAUGAUGAUAGGUUAAAAGAUAAAAUUCUGAACAGUUAGAAUUCUCACUUUUGCUAAGGUAUUAGUGUUAACUAAAGAAGUUCACAAGUAGUCCCUUUAUCUAAUAACUUAAAACUAUGUUCACACUCACUAAUAGUAAAUGAAAUAGCCGAACCGUGUGUGCUAUGCUCAUAAUAUAAGAAGGCUAAUUUCAGGAUGGUAAGCAGUUGUUAAUGGGGCUGUGGGGUGAGGUUUGCUGGAUAACUCUGAAUGUAUAUUUAAUGAGUAUCAGAGCUCUAUAACUCUAGUCUUGGAUGGGAGGUGGGGUCAAAUGGUGCAGUGAAAUUACCUAAAGACAGGCAGGAGAAAGAGAAAGGAAGAGGACAAUAUGUCAUCUAUACUAAUAAAAGGGUAAUAUGCUAAUUAGACCGGAUAGACAGGACGGCUUUCCUGACAAAGCCAUAUCCCAGGCAAAGCUGCCCUGGGUCCCGGGUGCCUAUGGCCUGCCAGAGGGAGAGAAGCCCGGGUGCGGGGCUGAGGCAGAGGCGGUUAGGGGUAAUCAGGCAGGCAGGCAAGCAGUUAGGGGCCAUCAGGCAGGCAAGUACUUAGGGGCAAUCAGGCAGGCAAGCAUUUAGGAGCCAGCAAUCCUGGAUUUCGAGAGGGAUGUUGCGGGAUCGGGCCUAAACCGGCAGUGGGAAAUCCCCUGAGGCAUCCCAGAUUGCAAGAGGGUGCAGGCCGGGCUGAGGGAAAUCCCCCCC